rnacentral:rRNA from 1 species
CUGGCUCAGAGCGAACGCUGGCGGCAGGCUUAACACAUGCAAGUCGAGCGGGCAUAGCAAUAUGUCAGCGGCAGACGGGUGAGUAACGCGUGGGAACGUACCUUUUGGUUCGGAACAACACAGGGAAACUUGUGCUAAUACCGGAUAAGCCCUUACGGGGAAAGAUUUAUCGCCGAAAGAUCGGCCCGCGUCUGAUUAGCUAGUUGGUGAGGUAAUGGCUCACCAAGGCGACGAUCAGUAGCUGGUCUGAGAGGAUGAUCAGCCACAUUGGGACUGAGACACGGCCCAAACUCCUACGGGAGGCAGCAGUGGGGAAUAUUGGACAAUGGGCGCAAGCCUGAUCCAGCCAUGCCGCGUGAGUGAUGAAGGCCCUAGGGUUGUAAAGCUCUUUUGUGCGGGAAGAUAAUGACGGUACCGCAAGAAUAAGCCCCGGCUAACUUCGUGCCAGCAGCCGCGGUAAUACGAAGGGGGCUAGCGUUGCUCGGAAUCACUGGGCGUAAAGGGUGCGUAGGCGGGUCUUUAAGUCAGGGGUGAAAUCCUGGAGCUCAACUCCAGAACUGCCUUUGAUACUGAAGAUCUUGAGUUCGGGAGAGGUGAGUGGAACUGCGAGUGUAGAGGUGAAAUUCGUAGAUAUUCGCAAGAACACCAGUGGCGAANGCGGCUCACUGGCCCGAUACUGACGCUGANGCACGAAAGCGUGGGGAGCAAACAGGAUUAGAUACCCUGGUAGUCCC